rnacentral:lncRNA from 1 species
CAGGCACCAUCUAGUCUACUGGGGACCUGCAGAAAACAAAAACAGAAAGGGCAAAUAGGUUAAUCUCUCUACUAGAGUUGGGAUAUAUUGUCCCUCUCCUGUCCUUGGACAACUUCAGGCUCUCUGAUCUUUGGACUCCACGAGUUACACCAAUGACCCCUGGGUUCUCAGGCCUUUGGCCUUGGAAUGAGAGUUACACCAUCAUCCUCUGGCUCUGAUGGCAUCACUCCUGGCUCUGAUGCCUUUGGACUUGUACUGAGCUGUACUACCAGAAUUCCCAGGUCUCCAGCUUGCAGACAACCUGUCCUGGGACUUCUCAGCCUCAAUAAUCAUUUGAGCCAAUUCCCCUAAUAAAUCCUCUCCCAUCUACCUAUCUAUAUCUACAUCCAUAUCUAAUCUAUGUCUAUAUCCAUCUCCUAUUUGUUCUGUCUCUCUAGAGAAUCCUGACUAAUACAGAGAGUAACAAAGCAUUUUUCUCAUGUUUUAUCUUUCAUCUCAGAAUCUAAUUAAUCACUUCCUUAAUUACUUGAAUGAGCCACUGGAGGUUUGGGGUCAUGAUUCCUGCUCUAUUUAUAUCACCUUGUUUUUGAUGAGAUGACCCUACCUCUGAAUACUGAGUCUAAACAUACCAAUAAAAAGAUGAGAGACGGCCGGGCACGGUGGCUCACACCUGUAAUCCCAACACUUUGGGAGGCCAGGGCGGGUGGAUCACUUGAGGUCAGGAGUUCAAAAUUGGCUUGGCCAACAUCUAAUUUAAUAGAGAUGACAUCUAAUUUAGUAGAGACGAGUGAAACCUCGUCUCUACUAAAAAUACAAAAAUUAGCCAGGCAUGGUGGCAGGCGCCUAUAAUCCCAGCUACUUGGGAGGCUAAGGCAGGAGAACCACUUGAACCCAGGAUGCAGAGGUUGCAGUGAGCCGAGAUUUUUGCACCACUGCACUCGAGCCUGGGUGACAGAGCUUCAUCUCAAAAAAAAAAAAAAAAAAAAAAAAAAAAAAAGAUGAGAGACCUGUUCCAGGCCCUGUAGUUUUCACAUUCUCUCUGAAUUCAUUAUUCUUAAAACACUGUCUAUUAUCCACCCCUAGUCAAUCAAAAAUAAAUAAAAAUCAAAAAGAAAACAAGGAACAGGCUUCUCUUGUAAUUGGAAGAGAGCUGUGAGCAAGACGAAUGAUCUGUGGGGACCUCCACUACGAAUUACAGCAGAAGGCUUGCAAUUACUUAGAGAAAGAAACUGCAUGUUUAUAAUGUUUGAGUAGAAAGAAGCAUCUCAGUACUCUUCACACUUAGUAUUCAGCACAGUGAUAUUGCAGUGCUGGGCCAGUGGGGCAAAGGCCAGCCUUUCUGGAAUUGUAACACUCUAAAGUGUCUCUGUACACUGUGAGACACGACCAGGUUCAUCAGUCUGGGAUCCCCAGGACCUCCAAGCAUAACAAACGUGGCAGCAAGUCUCAGGGGCAGAGCCCCAGGCUGCACUUGCCAAGAAGCAGCUUCUGGGCUGCAAAGUCUGUGAUCUGAGCAGAGAGAAGGUACAGAAGGAGAAGCUCUGGGUAGAGAGGUGUGAUGCUGAACAAGGCCCCCUGCCUGCCCCAUCUUUUAGCCUUCCAUGCCCCUCUCCACUUCUCAGGUUUCCCUGAGGCUUCUCCCUCCUACUAAUCUCCACAACAAAAACCAUAUUCCAACUCUAGCGACUGAGUAACAAUAAUGAGAUCUAUAUUAUUAUGAUCAUGACUCUUCUUCUUGCUUGUUAACUGCUUAAGCAAACAUGCUUUACUAGAAGGAAAUCUAACACUCUUCUCUUGAGUCUUUCUCCCCUCUUCCCUCAAAUUGCCCAAGCACCCUGGAGGUUUGGUCCAAGCAAAGUUGACCAAAGUGGGAGGAGAAGUGGUGUCUUUGGGGCCAUUUGUGGCCUCUCAUCAGCACCACAUAAUGUUGCUGACGAAUACUGGCCCCUAGCCACAAGACCCACACUUGUCUGCUCUGAGCACAGCCUUGCUGCUCCACAUUCCUGA